GAGUGUGCACAGUUGCAGUUUUGUAGCUGAUAAGGUGAACCUUGAGGUGCAAUUUUUGCUAAUUGAAAACUAUUCCCAAUACCCUGCUGUGGCAGCUUGCAAUAUAGCUGCCACCAGCAAUUUUUGAGGGCCUAUUUAAUUUUUAACUGGC
rnacentral:snRNA from 1 species